AUUGAACGCUGGCGGCAUGCUUUACACAUGCAAGUCGAACGGUAGAGGGGCAACCCUUGAGAGUGGCGAACGGGUGAGUAAUGCAUCGGAACGUGCCCAGUAGUGGGGGAUAGCCCGGCGAAAGCCGGAUUAAUACCGCAUACGACCUGAGGGUGAAAGCGGGGGAUCGCAAGACCUCGCGCUAUUGGAGCGGCCGAUGUCAGAUUAGGUAGUUGGUGGGGUAAAGGCCUACCAAGCCGACGAUCUGUAGCUGGUCUGAGAGGACGACCAGCCACACUGGGACUGAGACACGGCCCAGACUCCUACGGGAGGCAGCAGUGGGGAGUUUUGGACAAUGGGCGCAAGCCUGAUCCAGCCAUGCCGCGUGCGGGAAGAAGGCCUUCGGGUUGUAAACCGCUUUUGUCAGGGAAGAAAUCUUCUGGGCUAAUACCCCGGGAGGAUGACGGUACCUGAAGAAUAAGCACCGGCUAACUACGUGCCAGCAGCCGCGGUAAUAC
rnacentral:rRNA from 1 species